ACGGCUCAGUAACACGUGGCUAACCUGCCCUUGGGAUAGGAACACCCCCGGGAAACUGGGGCUAAUUCCCAAUAGGCGAAGAACUCUGGAAUGAGUCUUCACCAGAAAAGACUCCUGCAUUAUGCUUGUAGGUUUCGCCCAAGGAUGGGGCCGCGACCGAUCAGGUUGUUGGUGAGGUAAUGGCUCACCAAGCCUUUUACCGGUGCGGGCCGUGAGAGCGGGAGCCCGGAGAUGGGCACUGAGACAAAGGCCCAGGCCCUACGGGGCGCAGCAGUCGCGAAAACUUUGCAAUACACGCAAGUGUGACAGGGCUAUCCCGAGUGCCAUCCGCUGAGGAGGGCUUUUACCCAGUCUAGAACGCUGGGGGAAUAAGGAGAGGGCAAGUCUGGUGUCAGCCGCCGCGGUAAUACCAGCUCUUCGAGUGGUGUGGAUGUUUAUUGGGCCUAAAGCAUCCGUAGCUGGCUAAGUUAGUCCCUUGUUAAAUCCACCGAAUUAAUCGUUGGAUUGCGGGGGAUACUGCUUGGCUAGGGGACGAGAGAGGCAGACGGUAUUUCCGGGGUAGGGGUGAAAUCCUAUAAUCCCGGGAAGACCACCAGUGGCGAAGGCUGUCUGCUAGAACGCGCCCGACGGUGAGGGAUGAAAGCUGGGGGAGCGAACCGGAUUAGAUACCCGGGUAGUCCCAGCUGUAAACGAUGCAGGCUAGGUGUCUGGACGGCCACGUGCCGUUCUAGUGCCGCAGGGAAGCUGUUAAGCCUGCCGCCUGGGGGAGUACGAUCGCAAGAUUGAAACUUAAAGGAAUUGGCGGGGGAGCAC
rnacentral:rRNA from 1 species